rnacentral:rRNA from 1 species
UACGGGGGGGGUAAGCGUUGUUCGGAAUUACUGGGCGUAAAGCGCACGUAGGCGGCUUUGUAAGUUAGAGGUGAAAGCCCAGGGCUUAACCCUGGAAUUGCCUUUAAGACUGCAUCGCUAGAAUCGUGGAGAGGUGAGUGGAAUUCCGAGUGUAGAGGUGAAAUUCGUAGAUAUUCGGAAGAACACCAGUGGCGAAGGCGACUCACUGGACACGUAUUGACGCUGAGGUGCGAAAGCGUGGGGAGCAAACAGG